CUGUCUCAUAUCUCCCACCGCCAUGUGCCAGCUGAUAGGGGAGCUGUGACAUACCACACCCCCGCGGCCGGGAAGGGGGUCACAUGGAACUGGUCUCAUCCAGAGCACUUUAAAGAAACUGAUAAGCUCUAUCUCAUUUAACUUGGCCUUUGGAAGACGCUUGUGGAAAUUUCUGCAAAGGAGGUGACAUCAGUUGUUGUCACAGCUGCUGUGCCCUACAGUGACCUUAUUGGUGGCUGAGUCUAGAGAGACACCUCAUGAUUCUGAAUUAAGAGUUUUUCCAUCUCCAAAAUCAGGGGUAUUUUGAGAUACUGGGAUGAAAAGCCAAGAGGGA